GCACUCACUUUGGCAGCACAUAUACUAAAAUUGCAACAAUACAGAGAAGAUCAGCAUGGCCCCCCGCACAAGGAUGACAUGCAAAUUCAUGAAGCAUUCAGUGUUAAU
rnacentral:snRNA from 1 species